CUUUUGUGGGGUGCUCGAGUGGCGAACGGGUGAGUAACACGUGAGUAACCUGCCCUUGACUUUGGGAUAACUUCAGGAAACUGGGGCUAAUACCGGAUAGGAGCUCCUGCCGCAUGGUGGGGGUUGGAAAGUUUCGGCGGUUGGGGAUGGACUCGCGGCUUAUCAGCUUGUUGGUGGGGUAGUGGCUUACCAAGGCUUUGACGGGUAGCCGGCCUGAGAGGGUGACCGGCCACAUUGGGACUGAGAUACGGCCCAG
rnacentral:rRNA from 1 species